AGUGGUGGGUCUGCCUUCAGUGGUAGGAUACAGGCUGUGUUUUUGUCUUGAGUCAAACACCUCCACUUGUGCUGGGGCAUGUCCUGGCCUUUGGUACAACAUCCUUUGUCCUGUAUUUUCCUUUGAAGGUCAAUAUUAAUUAUUCUGCCAUGCGUCCCCCAUUUUGGAACUGCAAGCAGCUUUUGUGUCUUCUCUAUGGGAGAAGUUAGUCCAGAACAAGGUUUUAACUCACCCUACGAAUCCUGCCAUGGGGCUGUUCUGCCAGUCGUACAAAGAAAAUUGUCUUUCUUCUCUGCAGAGUACAAUGAACUUUUCAUCUUCUCACUUAACAGCUGUAUCUUUUAAAGAAUAAAAGUAAAUAUAAAAUUAGCGAGGAUUCAGUAACAGUAGGUCAGCUAUAAAUACUUGCAAAUGGGAAACAUACAGUGAGCAUCUUUGGAAUUGCGACAUUACAGCAUUCUGAUUUUAGGAAAGUUACAAUUAAGCUCUGUUUCAAUACAACCAACUCUAUAUUACAAACUCAACAAAAUGUACGGAGGAGCAGAAGUCCUACUCAGUGCACUUAGUGCCUUUUACAUGGUCAUUCAGAUACAGCAUGGUCACAGCUCUGGCCCGGUUCGACCUGGAUCCUUGACUAAAUGGCACAGGGGGACCCAUGGACCCACCCCCUGUGACGGGUCUAAACACAAAACAGCGGCAACGAGCUAAGGGAGAAAAUUAAUUUACUAGAUAUUAUAGCACAGUGUGAGAGAAUGCAAUAUAGCACAAUACAAUUGGAAUUGUAGCUAAUAAAUCAAAUAAACAGGAGAGAGAUUGUCCAAAACUGAAGGCCUUACUCUAAUGUUGAAGGUGGGACAGCUAGGGAGCAUACACUGCAGAGCCAAGCAGAAAUAGAAGUCUCAUGACUCCCAGUUUUCUCUUUCCUUCUAAACAGAAAAUGGAAAUGGAACAGUGAAGUAUUCACAGAAUCAGUGAUUCUGUGAUUCCAACUGAAAUUCUCUGAAAUUACUCCUUUUGUACCUUUGGAUGCUCCCAGAUCCAAUCACGAGGAAUCACACCAUUUCUUUCCCCAGUAGGACAUAAGAAUCUAACACCUAGAGAGCUGUAUUUUUCAAGACUGUUGUGUUGUAAGCAAUUAGGCAUCUUCAUUUUUUAUGUGAAGCUAUAUUCAUUCAACCUGGAGUUUACUUUUAAGUAGUUUAGACCACACUUCAGAACUUAAUCACAUGAGUGGCUCCACCCUCACCUAAAGGUAAUGCUGCCUUUCCUGAAUACUAUCUGAUUUGGCCCUGAGAGCUCACCAGCUACACCUGCUCACUAACUGAAGAUACAGUAGCAAAAAUGAUUUCCUGAGUGGUUCAGAGUUGUUCACUUGCAUCAGCCCAAGACAUUUCCAAACCAAACCCUCCAAGUGGGUUGAGAGGGUAUGGUCUGUCUCCUCUGGUUCCUGACUAUUGAGUCCCACCAUGUCAGAACGUACAGCACGUCAAAAAGUCUGUGCAAUGCUCAAAAGUGAGAUGGGGAGAAGCUAGGUUGGCACCAUGAGAUAUUCUGCACAGCCCUUACUAAGCUGAUGCUCAGAUAAAUCCCUGCUGCCCAGUGUAAACUCCUUUACCUUCUACCUCCAAUUACCUCGUCUAAUGAUCCUCCAGCAAGAUGAGCUGUAUCCACUAUGCCCUAUCCCAUAUUCUUCAGGUGCCCUCUGUGCUCUGUCUGAAGUCAGCUCUGCAGGUGGCACUGUGUCCUGCCUGUUGGUGAGACAGCCAGGAGCACAGACAGCAAAGAGAGGCAGUCUUGAGACUCCGUCAUUUUAUCUGUUUGUUCAAAUGGAAAUGGAACAACAAAGUCCUCUGGGAGUUGUAGUUCACUCUUGUCUUCUGAGACCAGGAAACCAGAAAUGUUGACAAGUCACAGAACAGCAGUACUAAGCCUUUAACUCCAGUGCACUGCGAGAUGUGAUGGUGUGGAAUACUGACCAAAAAACAUAAAACCAGGACAAGAGAGUGUCUCUUGAACCGAGGCUGCUUGCUGUGACGGAGUGCUGUGUAGCCGUAGAGCCCCUUCACUAGUUGGGCAGGAUACAACCCACCUCUGACAGAAGAGUAGCUUCCAGCCGAUGAACUGAAUCACCUGGUUGCCUCAGAUGGAAUCAGGGUGGCAAUAGAUGUCAUCAGCUCAGUGUGAAGACAGUGUUUUCCAGUAUGGAAAAAAUUGCACCCACCAACAUUCACCGACACUUGCUGGAUGGAGUCCAGACAAUGGACAUGAGCUCAGGGAGCUGGUAGAUAUUGGACUUCAGCAGUGGUGACAACAGCAGUAGUUUACCUCUGCUGGUGCAGAUUUUUACAAAUGCAGCAUGCAGGCU